AUUCAGUGAAUCAUCGAGUCUUUGAACGCACAUUGCGCCCCCUGGCAUUCCGGGGGGCAUGCCUGUCCGAGCGUCAUU
rnacentral:rRNA from 1 species